rnacentral:misc_RNA from 1 species
AACGAGGCCGACCUGCGGCUGAGUUACCUGCGGAGGGAUCAUUACACAUAUAAAGUAUGCCUGGGAAAAUUCGAAAGAAAAGUACCCAGGCGUAUUCUUAUACCCAUGUCUUUUGCGUACUACUUGUUUCCUUGGUGGGCUUGCCUGCCAUUAGGACACCCCUACAAACCUUUUGUAAUUGCAGUCAGCGUCAGAAAAUAACGUAAUCGUUACAACUUUUAACAAUGGAUCUCAGAUCGG